AAAGUCUGACCUGCCCAAUGAAGGAAUUUAAAUGGCUGCGGUAUAAUGACCGUACAAAGGUAGCAUAAUAAUUAGGUUUUUAAUUGAAACCUGGUAUGAAGGGUUGAACGAGAAAAAAGCUGUCUCAAUUAUAAAUUUAAUUAGAAUUUUAUUUUUAAGUUAAAAAGCUUAAAUAAUUUUAAAAGACGAGAAGACCCUAUAGAGUUUUAUAUUAAUUUUUAUUUUAUUUUUUUAGGAUUUUUAUACUUGAAAUAAAGGUAAGUAUUUAGUUGGGGAGAUUAAAAAAUUAAAUUAACUUUUUUAUAAUUAUAACAUUGAUAUAUGAAUAGUUGAUCCA
rnacentral:rRNA from 1 species